rnacentral:rRNA from 1 species
CUCCGGUGAUCCCGCCGGACCCGACUGCUAUCAGAGUGGGACUAAGCCAUGCGAGUCAACAUAGCAAUAUGUGGCAUACGGCUCAGUAACACGUAGUCAACAUGCCCAGGGGACGUGGAUAACCUCGGGAAACUGAGGAUAAACCGCGAUAAGUCACUACUUCUGGAAUGGGUAAUGACUCAAAUCUAUAUGGCCCCUGGAUUGGACUGCGGCCGAUCAGGCUGUUGGUGAGGUAAUGGCCCACCAAACCUGUAACCGGUACGGGCUCUGAGAGGAGGAGCCCGGAGAUGGGCACUGAGACAAGGGCCCAGGCCCUAUGGGGCGCAGCAGGCGCGAAACCUCUGCAAUAGGCGAAAGCUUGACAGGGUUACUCUGAGUGAUUUCCGUUAAGGAAAUCUUUUGGCACCUCUAAAAAUGGUGCAGAAUAAGGGGUGGGCAAGUCUGGUGUCAGCCGCCGCGGUAAUACCAGCACCCCGAGUGGUCGGGACGUUUAUUGGGCCUAAAGCAUCCGUAGCCGGUUCUACAAGUCUUCCGUUAAAUCCAACUGCUUAACAGGUGGGCUGCGGAAGAUACUAUAGAGCUAGGAGGCGGGAGAGGCAAGCGGUACUCGAUGGGUAGGGGUAAAAUCCGUUGAUCCAUUGAAGACCACCAGUGGCGAAGGCGGCUUGCCAGAACGCGCUCGACGGUGAGGGAUGAAAGCUGGGGGAGCAAACCGGAUUAGAUACCCGGGUAGUCCCAGCUGUAAACGAUGCAGACUCGGUGAUGAGUUGGCUAUAUGCCAUCUCAGUGCCGCAGGGAAGCCGUUAAGUUUGCCGCCUGGGGAGUACGGUCGCAAGACUGAAACUUAAAGGGAUUGGCGGGGGAGCAC